UACGUAGGGUGCAAGCGUUAUCCGGAAUGAUUGGGCGUAAAGCGUCCGCAGGUGGCUAUGUAAGUCUGCUGUUAAAGAGUCUAGCUCAACUAGAUAAGAGCAGUGGAAACUACAUGGCUAGAGUGCGUUCGGGGCAGAGGGAAGUUCCUGGUGUAGCGGUGAAAUGCGUAGAGAUCAGGAAGAACACCGGUGGCGAAGGCGCUCUGCUAGGCCGCAACUGACACUGAGGGACGAAAGCUAGGGGAGCGAAUGGG
rnacentral:rRNA from 1 species